GCAUGUUUGCAUUAUGUGUUAGAUGACCAAUGCACCCAUCGAGAUAUGAACAAAAAGCUAUUUUGGGAUAUUGUUGAUGGUAAAAGCUUGGGGGAAGUUCAAGAGAUCAUUAGCAAAAGUUCGUCUCCUAGACUCCUAUCAACAGGAACAUUAAGAAACAUUCAUUCAAUAAUGUUAAUGUUGGUGGCUGAGGGGAUGAUUGUGGCAAAGCUGAAAACGAAAAAUAUUGUCAAUGCAGUUAUUAUUUUACUUAGUUCUUUUUAUACUUUUAAUGCUGAGUAUCCUAAAGACGUUAAUGGACAUUGCAAAAAUGUAUUUAUUCUUUUAGAACAUUUGCUUUUAAUUCAAAAUGCAAUUGUAAGGCUCAAUUGCCAACUUUUGUCGAUCAUUUUAUUUCUUCUAUGAAGUAGAAAACUUUUGUAGUGUUAAUUAAUGGCAUGUAGUAGAGAUUUUAAGUAUUCUGUGUUUGCAAAAAAAUGUGCUAGUUAUAA